CAUCAUUUAUAAAUAUAAUAUGAAUGAUUCCUUAAGUAUGUAUAUAGCGCGGCAACCUUGAUUUCAAAAAUGAUCUCAUCUCAGCAUCUAUUAUCUAAUCGGUAAAUCAGAUUUAUCACGAAUACAGACUAUUAAAUUAUUUAAAGCCUUAGUGCGGAAAGGGUUACCUAUUUUACUUUAACGACCAAUAAAAUCAAGUAUAAUGAUUCGAGUUCAUUUUUAAUGGAGGGUCGGUGCUUUUAUUGCCUUAAAAGAGAUAGCUCUGCUGAGGUCGGCUCGGUUUUUUUAUUUACCUGUCUUGUAAUUGCGGUGUUUAAGAUCUAAUUUUUCUAUUUAUCUCUUUUCUCGACUCUCACUACCUAAAGUCUGAAGAUUUUCAUACUCUUGUGCGAAAGAUAUCGCGAAAAAAAGCAUCAUCUCUCAACAAGAAAAUUGGCACUCCAGGAAAGCAGUCGAGGAAAAUGUUACCGGGCAUUGGGAAUGGAUGGACAACACGUGCGGUUUGAAUUUUACAACAAUUUGACAACUGAGGCUUAUUACCUUGAGACCUCCGCACACAGAGAGAAACAACAUAUCUGCUAUUGACAUCCCUGCGCAGAUGUGCUUACUCAAGUAUGGCCAUGCAGUUGGACCUUUUCGAUAGACGUCAUCUAUAUGAAUCGUGGGUCGUGAGAUCUACAUGACUGUCCUCACAAAUUGCUCGUUAUUCGCUGUGUUAGAGUUUUUAAAAGGAUGUUCGCAUUUGUGCGUCACAGAAUCUUGUUUAAAUGACUGGACAUUGUAGUUUAGUAAAAUAUAAUGGGAUCUAAUAGGAUGCCUGGAUUCAACACGCAACAAGAAUAAAAACUUUCACUCCAAAAAACCUAAAAAGAUUACCACAGUUUCAAUGAAACCAUGGUUUUUCCACCUUUGUCUUAUUCAAGAUGCAUGUGGAACAAGCUAGGUGUUUUUUUC
rnacentral:lncRNA from 1 species